AGAACAUAUUUGCUUCAGUUCAUCACUACUGUAAGCCCUAACACUUGAAACCAAUCCCAAACGGCGACACACCCUCUCGAUCGCAGCUCUCCUCAACAUACGACAGGAGCUCUCGAUCGCGGUGCUGUCCUCCACAUACGGCGACUCUGCGGUGCUCUCUUUCACGGGCGACGGCGCGAUGCUCCCUUCCACGGGCCUCGGCGCGGUCAUCUUCUCCACGCACGCUGCUCCACGGCUCCUCCUCCUCCUGUGUCGGCUCUACUACGCGGUCUUCUUUGAGAAACUCCUCUCGUUCUCCUUCUUCCUCUUCUUCCCCUGUCUCGUCUCCUCCUCUUCGCAAGCUUUGACAACACUAAACGCUGCUGUAACCCCCUCCUCCUCUGCGUAUUGGUACAAGUUCCAAGUCAUGAACUAGAAAUGGCCUUUCAUCAUUAAACUGGUAAGUUUAUGAUUGUUCAUUGAUAUCCAGUUUUAUUAGACCUCUUAAUAUCCAUUAGGUAAACUCUUUCAAAAUGUUAGGUCCCUUUUUUUAAUAAUUAAAACCAUUUACAAUAAGAAAUGAAGAACUGAAUGUCAUUAAAGUUGGCCUGCUAUUGCUCUUUAUUUUGGGCUUGUACUUGAUGAACACUGAACACAAGUAUACUUAUUUCGGUAUCUUAGACUUUAAGCAUGUAUUUGCGAGUUGAAGUUUUUGGGUUAAGUUUGGAAGGGUAGAAUGGACUUCGCCUUACACUAGAAAGCUAUUCCCUUCUCUCCAUUUUACUCUAAAAUCAAAACUCACAAACAUUUCCUUAGUCAAUGUUUGAGUGUUCUAUUUUCUGUAAGAAAUAUCACUCUUUAUGAUGUAAUUUAAUUUGUCCCUAAGUAAGUAUGAACAAGUCUCAGGGCUCUCCAACUAGUGGUACAAAAUAUUCCAUUUCGAUCACAACGAAGGAUGGCAUGUUGCCUCUUGAUAUGUCUCCAAGUGCAUAGCCACAACCAUUUUUGCCUCUUUUAGCACCUUCGCCAUUGACGCCUUUCAAAAACUAUUCUAUGCCUCAGUCUAAACUGUCAGAAUUUGGCUGCCUUUUGCCGAGUCUUUCUUCGGACGCAAUAUUUGAUAAAUCGUCCGAUGUUGGGUUCAUGUGUGAUAUUAACGACAAUAUUGUAGCUCCAUGGCCUUCAUCAUCAUCGUCGCUGCUUCCGUCCUCAUGCAAUAGAAAGACGAAACUUCCAUCGCUUCCCACAGUGACAUCUUCACAAAAUUGAUAUCCAUUUAGAUUUGACUGCAGAGUAUACAUGCUAAUGGUUGGAUGAAGAUUUCUGAAGAGAUAAAAGCGAUUCUUGGCAUAAUAGUGAAGCACAAAUUCUUUUUGGUUUCAAAUGAAAAACUAGUUUUUUUUUUUUUGUUCAAGGUCAUCAUGAGAAAAACAUGUAUUUUGUUUACUUAUGUUUAUUAUUUAUUUGACUUGGUAACUUAGCAAGUAUGUUAAUUGACACUUGAAAGACCUUUCUAUAUAUAUGCAAUAUAUAUUUAGUUUA